rnacentral:misc_RNA from 1 species
GAAAUGCGAUAAGUAGUGUGAAUUGCAGAAUUCAGUGAAUCAUCGAAUCUUUGAAUGCACAUUGCGCCCCUCGGUAUUCCGUGGGGCAUGCCUGUUCGAGCGUCAUCUACACCCUCAAGCUCUGCUUGGUGUUGGGCGUCUGUCCCGCCUCCGCGCGCGGACUCGCCCCAAAUGCAUUGGCAGCGGUUCCUUGCCCCCCUCUUUGCGCAGCACAUUGCCAUUCGAGGCGGCGGCGGCCCGCGUCCAACAAGCUCAACCCCCCCGUCUUUGACCUCGGAUCAGGUAGGGAUACCCGCUGAACUUAAGC